AUUGAACGCUGGCGGCAGGCCUAACACAUGCAAGUCGAACGAGUGGCGGACGGGUGAGUAAUGCAUGGGAAUCUAGCUGAUGGAGGGGGAUAACUACGGGAAACUGUAGCUAAUACCGCGUACCAUAGGAUGAGCCCAAGUGGGAUUAGGUAGUUGGUGGGGUAAAGGCUCACCAAGCCGACGAUCUCUAGCUGGUCUGAGAGGAUGACCAGCCACACUGGGACUGAGACACGGCCCAGACUCCUACGGGAGGCAGCAGUGGGGAAUAUUGCACAAUGGGCGCAAGCCUGACGCAGCCAUGCCGCGUGAAUGAAGAAGGCCUUCGGGUUGUAAAGUACUUUCAGUUGGGAGGCGUUACCUACAGAAGAAGCACCGGCUAACUCCGUGCCAGCAGCCGCGGUAAUUC
rnacentral:rRNA from 1 species